UACGUAGGGUGCAGGCGUUAAUCGGAAUUACUGGGCGUAAAGCGUGCGCAGGCGGCUUCUCAAGUCAGAUGUGAAAUCCCCGGGCUUAACCUGGGAACUGCGUUUGAAACUGGGAGGCUAGAGUGCGGCAGAGGGGGGGUGGAAUUCCACGUGUAGCAGUGAAAUGCGUAGAUAUGUGGAGGAACACCGAUGGCGAAGGCAGCCCCCCUGGGCCUGCACUGACGCUCAUGCACGAAAGCGUGGGGAGCAAACAGG
rnacentral:rRNA from 1 species